AUAUUGCACAAUGGGCGCAAGCCUGAUGCAGCGACGCCGCGUGAGCGAAGAAGGUUUUCGGAUCGUAAAGCUCUGUCCUCUGGGCAGAAAAAAAUGACGGUACCAGAGGAAGCGCCCGCUAACUCCGUGCCAGCAGCCGCGGUAAGACGGAGGGCGCAAGCGUUGUCCGGAAUUACUGGGCGUAAAGCGCGCGCAGGCGGAUGCGGCAAGUCGGAAGUGAAAUACCGGGGCUCAACCCCGGGGCUGCUUCCGAUACUGCUCGUCUAGGGACCGGUAGAGGCUGGUGGAAUUCCCGGUGUAGCGGUGGAAUGCGUAGAGAUCGGGAAGAACACCUGUGGCGAAGGCGGCCAGCUGGGCCGGAUCCGACGCUGAGGCGCGAAAGCGUGGGGAGCAAACAGG
rnacentral:rRNA from 1 species